rnacentral:tRNA from 1 species
UGGAAUGUGGCGUGAUUAGGUAGCGCGUCUAUUUUGAGAAUAUAUUGUCACAGGUUCAAAUCCAGUGAUACCUU